rnacentral:misc_RNA from 1 species
CUUCACAGCCUGCUUCAAGCUCAGAUCUCCUAAGCUUUGGCACACCAGUUAUAAAUGCUUUCUGAAGCUGCCCGCUCAAUCCUGUGGCCCAGGGUUUGACAGUAGCCUUAUUAAUUUUAUAGACAUAUAUGAUGAUAAUGGAAAUGACAAAUAGAGUACCCCCUAUGGCUCCAGAAGUUAUUGCAAUAUUUUUGCUAGAACUAUUAGAGGAUCUUGAAGCAGCACCAAUUGGUGAAGGGGAAGGCAGAUUUGGUUCCUGUGGAGAUGGAAAAGAAUCAUUUGCACGGGGAGAAGAGGAAGGCGGAUUUGGUUCUGGUGGAGGAGAUGGGGAAGGAACAUUCACAGGUGGGGAAGGCAAAGGCGAAGAUGGUGGUGGCACAAAUCUCCCAUUUCCAGAUUGAGGAGGUGGUGGCGGAAAAAGGAAACGGCUUCGUAAGUAUCGUGAUCCAAUUUCUUGAGGGGCACUGGUCACUAGCAGCUGUCGCUUGUUGAUUGCAUUUUCAGUUUGAACAGAAUUCCACAUGGUUGAUCUUUUAUUGCAAGAUGAUCCUUUAUCUGCAGUCUCUAGUUGGUUUUCAUCCACUUGAAAUUCAGAAUGCGUUUUCAGUUGUUGAAUUUCAGGUGAUAAGUUGCCGAGAAGGCUGUUAUUGUCCAGGAGAAGGAUUGUCAGGGAGAGAUUGCUGCCAAGAUCAGGUGGAAGUGGUCCAGUGACAUUAUUGUAUCCAAAAUCUAGCACCUCCAACUCCUUCAACUUUCCAAUUCCUUCAGGAAUUACGCCAGUAAAAGAAUUGUUGCGCAAAAUAAUAGACUUUAUGUGAACAAGGUUUCUGAGAUCAGGUGCUAGUGUUCCUCCAAGACAAAGAUCUUUCAAGUUCAAAAUUACAACUUUGCCGUCAGAGCACUCAACUCCAAACCAAGAACACGGAUUAACAACUCCAUCCUCAUCCUUCCAAUUCUUCAAAGCAUCGAACGGAUCACUCACUAUUCUCUCUCUAAACUUCAACAACGCUAAACCUUCUUCGUUGAGCGACCAACACAAAAGGAAGUUGUGGUAGAGGAAAAAGAGAAGAAGAACACCAAAUCUGUUGAAUUUCCAGUUCCUUCUAUCCAUGAAAGCUUGCUUCGAAUGAAGUUGAAGUUAAAGAAAACUUAACAGAGAAGAGGAUUAGUAGAAGCUUAUUUCGAAAUAUGCA